rnacentral:lncRNA from 1 species
AAUUAUUGGCCUCAAAGUCACGACACCAGGAUAACAAAGUCUCAACAUUCAAACUAGUCUUAGAGAUCAAGUAAUCUGCCCAAAAAAUUGCAACAUUGGCCAAAGAAUGUCACAACAUUAGACUAACAAGCCAAAAAUCCUACAAGGGUGUUUUCAUCUAUACAAUCUUAUUUAACUUGUAAUUCAUAUUGUAAUUGACCUAAAUAGGUCAUAAUACACUUAGACUAUAAAUAUUACCUAAAACCAUUAGUUUAG